GACGAACGCUGGCGGCGUGCUUUAGACAUGCAAGUCGAACGAGAUCUUCGGAUCUAGUGGCGAACGGCGGAGUAAUACAUAAACAACGUGCCCUGAAGACUGGGAUAUACGGUCGAAAGGCCGAGCAAUACCGGAUGUGGCCGAGACCAGGCAUCUAGACUCGAUUAAAUGGUUUUUCGCUUCAGGAGCGGUUUACGACUCAUCAGCUAGUUGGUAGGGUAAUGGCCUACCAAGGCUACGACGGGUAGGGGGUCUGAGAGGAUGAUCCCCCCGACGUGGGAC
rnacentral:rRNA from 1 species